rnacentral:rRNA from 1 species
AUUGAACGCUGGCGGCAGGCCUAACACAUGCAAGUCGAGCGAGCGGCGGACGGGGGAGUAAUGUCUGGGAAACUGCCUGAUGGAGGGGGAUAACUACUGGAAACGGUAGCUAAUACCGCAUACCAUCAGAUGUGCCCAGAUGGGUUUAGCUAGUAGGGUGGGUAACGGCUCACCUAGGCGACGAUCCCUAGCCGGUCUGAGGGGAUGACCAGCCACACUGGAACUGAGACACGGUCCAGAGUCCUACGGGAGGCAGCAGUGGGUAAUAUUGCACAAGGGGCGCAAGCCUGAGGCAGCCAUGCCGAGUGAGUGAAGAAGGCCUUCGGGUUGUAAAGCACUUUCAGCUGGGAGGCGUUAUCCGCAGAAGAAGCACCGGCUAACUCCGUGCCAGCAGCGGCGGUAAUUC